rnacentral:rRNA from 1 species
CCUGGUUGAUCCUGCCAGUAGUCAUAUGCUUGUCUCAAAGAUUAAGCCAUGCAUGUCUCAGUGCAAGCCGCAUUAAGGUGAAACCGCGAAUGGCUCAUUAAAUCAGUUAUGGUUCCUUAGAUGGUGGACAGUUACUUGGAUAACUGUGGUAAUUCUAGAGCUAAUACAUGCAACUCGGUCCCGACCGGAGACGGAAGGGACGCUUUUAUUAGAUCAAAACCAAUCGGUCCUCGCGGCCGUUUGCCUUGGUGACUCUGAAUAAAUUGUGGCAGAUCGCACGGUCUCCGUACCGGCGACGCAUCUUUCAAAUGUCUGCCUUAUCAACUGUCGAUGGUAGGUUCUGCGCCUACCAUGGUUGUAACGGGUAACGGGGAAUCAGGGUUCGAUUCCGGAGAGGGAGCCUGAGAAACGGCUACCACAUCCAAGGAAGGCAGCAGGCGCGCAAAUUACCCACUCCCGGCACGGGGAGGUAGUGACGAAAAAUAACGAUACGGGACUCAUCCGAGGCCCCGUAAUCGGAAUGAGCACACUUUAAAUCCUUUAACGAGUAUCCAUUGGAGGGCAAGUCUGGUGCCAGCAGCCGCGGUAAUUCCAGCUCCAAUAGCGUAUAUUAAAGUUGUUGCGGUUAAAAAGCUCGUAGUCGGACUUGUGUCCCACGCUGCCGGUUCACCGCCCGUCGGUGUCUAACUGGCAUGCACGUGCGGACGUCCUGCCGGUGGCCCAAGCCGGCGCGUUUCGGGGUCGGAAACGUCUCCGGGCGCGUGUCGGGGAGGGCCUACUCAUACCCGUCGCGGUGCUCUUAACCGAGUGUCUCGAUGGGCCGGCACGUUUACUUUGAACAAAUUAGAGUGCUUAAAGCAGGCAGCAGCCGCCUGAAUACCGAGUGCAUGGAAUAAUGGAAUAGGACCUCGGUUCUAUUUUGUUGGUUUUCGGAAUCCCCGAGGUAAUGAUCAAUAGGGACAGAUGGGGGCAUUCGUAUUGCGACGUUAGAGGUGAAAUUCUUGGAUCGUCGCAAGACGGACCGAAGCGAAAGCAUUUGCCAAGAAUGUUUUCUCUGAUCAAGAACGAAAGUUAGAGGUUCGAAGGCGAUCAGAUACCGCCCUAGUUCUAACCAUAAACGAUGCCAGCCAGCAAUCCGCCGAAGUUCCUCCGAUGACUCGGCGGGCGGCUUCCGGGAAACCAAAGCUUUUGGGUUCCGGGGGAAGUAUGGUUGCAAAGCUGAAACUUAAAGGAAUUGACGGAAGGGCACCACCAGGAGUGGAGCCUGCGGCUUAAUUUGACUCAACACGGGAAACCUCACCAGGCCCGGACACCGGGAGGAUUGACAGAUUGAGAGCUCUUUCUUGAUUCGGUGGGUGGUGGUGCAUGGCCGUUCUUAGUUGGUGGAGCGAUUUGUCUGGUUAAUUCCGACACAAGUCUGUACUGAAGAAAUUGUCGAAUGAAUUGCGGUAUUCAGAAUCCCUGCAUCCAAAAGAGCUUCAUCAGGAACCUAUCAAAGUUAAAGUUAUGUGUUAGUUGAUAGUUACAAGGUAUCAUUUAUCAUCACUCUAUUUCUCAGAGAUUUUAACAUAGUUUUUUCCUCUGUUCUGAAUGCACCAGAGCUUAAAGGCUUAUUGUGUUUCUCAUUUAAAUUAAUGAUAUCGCAAUGGUAUUUGACGAGAUGAGUAUUAGGAUUUGCCGUGGGGCUAACAGACAGUCGCAUUCCAAUUUUGAAAAAUUUUCGAAAAA